rnacentral:rRNA from 1 species
AUUGAACGCUGGCGGCAUGCUUUACACAUGCAAGUCGAACGGUAACAGGCCGCAAGGUGCUGACGAGUGGCGAACGGGUGAGUAAUGCAUCGGAACGUACCCAGUCGUGGGGGAUAACGCAGCGAAAGCUGCGCUAAUCCCGCAUACGAUCUAUGGAUGAAAGCGGGGGACCGUAAGGCCUCGCGCGAUUGGAGAGGCCGAUGUCAGAUUAGGUAGUUGGUGGGGUAACGGCUCACAAAGCCAAGGAUCUGUAGCUGGUCUGAGAGGACGACCAGCCACACUGGGACUGAGACACGGCCCAGACUCCUACGGGAGGCAGCAGUGGGGAAUUUUGGACAAUGGGCGCAAGCCUGAUCCAGCAAUGCCGCGUGCAGGAAGAAGGCCUUCGGGUUGUAAACUGCUUUUGUACGGAACGAAACGGCUCUGGUUAAUACCUGGGGCUAAUGACGGUACCGUAAGAAUAAGCGCCGGCUAACUACGUGCCAGCAGCCGCCGUAAGAC